CGCGGGAUGGAGCAGUCCGGUAGCUCGUCGGGCUCAUAACCCGGAGGUCGUUGGUUCAAAUCCAACUCCCGCACCCA
rnacentral:tRNA from 1 species